rnacentral:lncRNA from 1 species
CAGCCAGGACUGGGAUGAUGGACACAGCUUCUUAGGCCUCAGAAUGAAAACUUAGCCCCGCCCCCACCCCUACCCCAUACGCUAGGGCCAGAGAGCCCGUCCUGCCCCCAUCUCCUGUCUCCUUGUCUCCUCUAACCCACCCUCCUCCCUACCCUAUCUUGGAGACCUGGAUCAACACCCCUUCGGAAUCACCAGGUGACUUAGACAGAAAAGGAAGGACAGAGGAGAUCUCCACCAGCAAAGCCGGGAGGGGACUGGAAAAGAGGGCUGCAGAGUCAAGCCUCAUUUCUGGAACCUUCUUGGGAAUGCAACUCUGAUCAGCAGGAACCAUGAGCCCAGCAACUCCGGUCCCACCCGACUCCACCCUGGAAAGUCCUUUUGAAGAAAUGGCCCUGGUGAGGGGCGGCUGGC